rnacentral:rRNA from 1 species
UACAGAGGGUGCAAGCGUUAAUCGGAGUUACUGGGCGUAAAGGGCGCGUAGGCGGUUAUAUGUGUGUGAUGUGAAAGCCCCGGGCUUAACCUGGGAAGUGCAUCGCAAACUGUAUAGCUAGAGUAUAUGAGAGGGUGGCGGAAUUUCCGGUGUAGCGGUGAAAUGCGUAGAGAUCGGAAGGAACGUCAAUGGCGAAGGCAGCCACCUGGCAUAAUACUGACGCUGAGGCGCGAAAGCGUGGGGAGCGAACAGG